AACAUUUAACACUGAAGAACUCUACAACCACACAUUAAUCAAUUCCAAAUACAUAAAUAUAUGACAUUCAUUCCACUCCUGGGUGGGAGUUGGGACGGUGCAAUUUUCAAUACAGCAAGUGGAUGAUCAUAUCUUCCCUUUAAGGGUUGAUUUGAUGAUAGAAUGAAAUCAAAAUCCCCAAAUCCGAAGCUGAUGCUGCACAUGCACUACUUAGUUUUAAUUAGUUAAGUGUUCAUCAUCAACUUAUUUUAUGUCUAAUAAUAUACUUAGGCGGCCACCUGCUGUUCUUUCUUUGUUGCCCACUGCCUGUUCACCAUGGUGAAUUCUUUACUAUUAUUUUAUAAACAUUCUUUAUUUCUUUUGAAAUGCUUAAAGCAGGCAAUCUCCACUAGCAGUCGCCAUUGUUGGUCUGCUGCAGCAAGCAGAAACUUACUUUAUCAGCUUUUUUUCUCUCUCUUCUCCCUCCCAGAGUUCCGUUCUUUAAGACGAAUCCAUCCCCAUUUCUUCAAAUGGUGAAAAGGGCUUCUUUAAGAGAUUGAAUGGUGCAGAACCCUGAAGAGGAAUCACUCCGGAAGGUGAAGAGAUGAUAAAACAAGGCAGCUUUGGUGAUAACCCAUUUCUCCUCUUCUCUUUUUUCCUUCUUUAGUGCAGCUUGAUAAUGGUCUUUUGCUGUAAUGAUUUAUUUCCUUUUUUAUAGUAGUUGAAAUUUGCUUAGCUCAGCUGGUCCAGAAGCAAUGAUUGUGUGAAUUGAGGGUUAGUUGAGGAAGAAGAGGAAAGCUGUUUUCUUUAGUUGCAUCAGCAAAUGAUGGAUGGGAUGGGAUAGCUAUUUAAUUUUUCCACACCAUUCAUAGAGUUUUAUGCCGACCUAUUGGAGAAAGGUAGAGAUGCGUUACGGAAUGUUUAGGGAUGGUGUGGUAGCUGAGUUAUUAAAGACUGUGUGGGCACCAUAGCUCAGUUGUGUGGGACAAAUCUGUAGGGAAGGCAUCGAAAGCUAGAGAUGGAAGGAAAUAGUGAGUGAAGGGUAAGGCCUCGUUUGGUGAGGGUGGUUUUUCAAACCACUGAUUCAUGAAACCAUGCUAUUGUACAUGAAUUAUGAUCAUAGCUGGCCAAAAAGAUUCUGCAACUCUUGUACAAAGAGAGNNN
rnacentral:lncRNA from 1 species